rnacentral:rRNA from 1 species
UAGAGUUUGAUCAUGGCUCAGGAUGAACGCUGGCGGCGUGCCUAACACAUGCAAGUCGAACGGGGGCCAGCGGCGGAAGGGGAUGGUUUACCAGACCCGGAAGGCGCGGGCCUUAGUGGCGGACGGGUGAGUAACGCGUGGGGAACCUGCCCCGUACCGGGGGAUAACACCUGGAAACAGGUGCUAAUACCGCAUAACAGAAGGGGACGCAUGUUCCUUUCUUGAAAACUCCGGUGGUACGGGAUGGACCCGCGUCUGAUUAGCUGGUUGGCGGGGUAACGGCCCACCAAGGCGACGAUCAGUAGCCGGCCUGAGAGGGCGGACGGCCACAUUGGGACUGAGACACGGCCCAAACUCCUACGGGAGGCAGCAGUGGGGAAUAUUGCACAAUGGGGGAAACCCUGAUGCAGCGACGCCGCGUGAGUGAAGAAGCGUUUCGGCGCGUAAAGCUCUGUCAGCGGGGAAGAAACACGGUUCGCGAGAGCCGCGGACGGUACCCGACCAAGAAGCCCCGGCUAACUACGUGCCAGCAGCCGCGGUAAUACGUAGGGGGCAAGCGUUAUCCGGAUUCACUGGGUGUAAAGGGAGCGUAGACGGCGAGACAAGUCUGGAGUGAAAGGCCGGGGCCCAACCCCGGGACUGCUCUGGAAACUGCCUGGCUGGAGUACAGGAGAGGUAAGUGGAAUUCCUAGUGUAGCGGUGAAAUGCGUAGAUAUUAGGAGGAACACCAGUGGCGAAGGCGGCUUACUGGACUGUAACUGACGUUGAGGCUCGAAAGCGUGGGGAGCAAACAGGAUUAGAUACCCUGGUAGUCCACGCCGUAAACGAUGAUCACUAGGUGUCGGGGGUUAGAAGGCCCCCGGUGCCGCAGCCAACGCAGUAAGUGAUCCACCUGGG